GGCUCAGUGGUCUAGUGGUAUGAUUCGUGCUUCGGGAGUUACCCCAUUACUUGAACACUAGUAAUUGUGCGAGGUCUCGGGUUCAAUCCCCGACUGAGCCC